GCUCGGAUUUUAGUUUGAAUCUUAGAGCGGUAGAAAAACAAAAUGGCGGAAAGUUGUGAUCCAUAAAAUUAAUCAUCUGAUUUUACGCUUUAUUUAUACGAAUAGAAUCGACAAAACUUCCUGGAGUUAUCGACAUCAAGCUUCUUUACUACCUCCGUGCCUCUGAAGACAUGCCUCUACCAAAGCCUACCUUCAGGUUCCGCCCGAAUGGGGGCCUGGAGUUUGCCGCCACACCUAGGGCCAAGGAUGUGGCCCAAUUGGUGAAAAAACAAAAAAAAGAACAAAAAUUUGGCCCAAAGCUGAGUAAAGAGGAGGUAGUUAUAAUUUACUUUUGGCAAUUUUAUCAGCAUUCUUGCAGUUAUUCGCAUCAUUGUCAUUGUCUGUUGAAUAACAAUUCCUUUAAGGGCAGGACGUAAUUAUAAACCUACUUCAGGCGAGGCUCGAAGAAAACAAUUGACGAGUAAACACACAUGAUGGAGCUAAUAAAAGAACUUUGUGACUGCUUUAUCAAUCAUUACAUUUAUGGUUGUCGUGGGUUAUUACAUUUAUGGGUGGAGUGUUUUUACAUUUAUGGUUGACUUUUUGUUAAAUUUAUGGUUGACUUUUUGUUAAAUUUAUGGGCGACGUGUUAUUACAUUUAUGGUUGUCGUGGGUUAUUACAUUUAUGGUUAUUAGCCUGCGAAACAAGCUGUCGAAAAGCGCCUCAGAAAAGCCGUCCUAUCGGACGUAGCGCUCGGCCAAAAAUAGGGAGAUUGGGGCGAGAAGGGAAA